rnacentral:lncRNA from 1 species
CCCGAACAAGGCCAAUAAUUUCCGUCUCUCCAACAAUGAAUCAGAAUCACCCCAUUGGUGGGAACACCUGAAGCUGAAAGAAACAAAAUAGAAAAUUUCUUUUUUAAUUUUUCGGAAAACAAAAUUCUCUCAGAUUGCGAAGGGAAAUGGAAGAAGCAAAGGCUUUAGCUCAGCACCAACAGCAAUUACUCUUACAACACCAGCAGCAACAACAAGCGCAACAAAAUCAACAAAAUCAACAACAGCAACAGCAGCAGCAGCAGCAACAGUAUCUUCUCUUGCAACAGCUGCAACAACAAGCGGCAAUCUCUCGUUUCCCUUCAAAUAUCGAUGCCCACUUACGCCCACCUGGAAUCCACCGUGCCCUUUCUCUCCAACAGCAAAACCCUAAUUCAAACCCUAACCCUAACGCUAACCCUAAUUUGCAACAACACCAACAGCAGCAGCAGCAGCAGCAAAAUCAACAAAAUUCGCAGCAGUCGCAGCAGCAACAGCAUCUUUUAGUGAUAGUGUAUGAGUAAAAUUUAACUUUUUUUUAUUUUUUUAUUUGCUGAAGAUAUGAUCAAAUCAAGAAAUAAUCUUGAUUCAUAAGAUAAAUUCUUUAUUCACUAGCACUAUGCUGAUAAUAUCCAAGGACUAAAAUUUAUAGUAUGAAGUAAUUUUCAUUAAGGUUAAAAUUGUAAACUUCAUAAAGAAGCUGUUAUUAGGACUUUUGAGGGGUUUGAGAAGCUUCACUCUUCCUUUUAAUUUCAAUUUGAACUAGAAGUGGUAAAACGAAUAAAUUAAUCGAAUUCGUAAAUGAAUUGCGUCAAAACUUUACUGAUUCAAAUACAAUUCAUUUAUUAAAUUAAUAGAAGUCUUAGGAUUCGAUUUAUUUACUAAACGAAUACUUGUUUUGAUUCAUUUAAUUCAUUUAGUAGAAUUAAUAAACAAAUUGAAUUAAAUCUUAUUUACAAAAAUAUAAUUACUAAAACAAAAUUGAGCAAAAUAAAAUAUAAAAAAAAUCACAAAUUUAACAUCUUACAAGAUACAAACUUAUUAUCAUUUAUAAUUACUAUUUAUUUAUUUAUUAAACAAAUACUAAAUGAAUAAAUGUUCUCAAACCUAUAUCCAGUUUGUUUAAUUAGCAAAUCAAAUAGAGUCGAGUUUACCUAUUUAUUAAACCAAUUAAUUUUUUCAAAUUCACACACAUUUAAUGGGUUAUUUCCACUCAACCCCCAAAUCUUUCGACAUUUUCCACCACACACCCAAACUUUUUGAUAUUUUCCACCGCGCACCCAAUUCCGUUAAUUUGACUGUUAUUUUUAACGGAGCUAUUUGAAAGUUAAAUAAAAUAUCUGAAAUACCCCUUAUCUUGAAUUAGAAAAGAAUUAAAUGAGAUAAAAUAUUAAUCUAAUAAUUAAUAUUUACAUUAAAAAUUCUUAAUUAAAGAUAAUUAAUAAUAAUCUCAUCAAUUAACUUAUCAAAUAAAUUUAAUUUAUCAUCAUCAAAUAAUAUUUAUGGUAUGAACUUCAAAAUUUGCCCUUUGACCGUUAGAAUAAACAGUCAAAUUAACGAAUUUAGGUGUGAAUUAGGUAUUUUUAAAACAGUUAAGUACGCGGUGGAAUAUGUUGAAACAUUUGAGGGUAGGGUGGCAUUAACCCCAUAUUUAAUCCGAAUCAAAUCAAAUAAACGAAUCCGGACCAUAAUUAUUCCUUCUAGUCUGAACAAGCCCAAAUAGAUUCGUGGGGUCAACGUAGAAUGGGCCCGAACAAGGCCAAUAAUUUCCGUCUCUCCAACAAUGAAUCAGAAUCACCCCAUUGGUGGGAACACCUGAAGCUGAAAGAAACAAAAUAGAAAAUUUCUUUUUUAAUUUUUCGGAAAACAAAAUUCUCUCAGAUUGCGAAGGGAAAUGGAAGAAGCAAAGGCUUUAGCUCAGCACCAACAGCAAUUACUCUUACAACACCAGCAGCAACAACAAGCGCAACAAAAUCAACAAAAUCAACAACAGCAACAGCAGCAGCAGCAGCAACAGUAUCUUCUCUUGCAACAGCUGCAACAACA